ensembl:lncRNA
GGUUAGAAAAGACAACAUGCAUGAAUACCUCUGAAAAGGCGUGUUUGUUAAAUGGUUACUCAGAGCCAGCAGUGCCAGUCAGGGAUUACUGUCCGGUCCAUUUAUGUUCUCCCCUCCUGGCAGAUAAAACAGUUCACUGCUAAUAUUCAUACCUGGGGGGGGAUGAUGGGCGCAUUCUCAGACUCUGAACUGGCCAUUGUCCCAGAAAGGCGUGUGACAAGAGCAGACAAUUCCUGUGCGCUUGGCUCUCUUCAGAGCCUCGUGGCAGGUCUCGUAUAGGACGCACUGGGACACAACUGCUGUUUUCUCUUUUGUUGGAACAAAUAUACGACUUAAAUUACAAUGAAUAUUUGUGAUUGGGUUUCCUUGGUGGCUUCAUGUGUUUAGGUUGACAUGGGACAAACAUCUGCAGGGCCUUGGUUUGAAAAUAUGAAUGAGGUCAAAAAUAGGUUCAAAUCCCUCGACUGCAAACGUGAAACGUGAAUGAGUUUUCUACAUAGACCCAAAAGUGAUUUUGUUCUACCAGACUUUUCCAACCUCGUCCUCACCUGUUGAAACCCAUCUUCACCCAGAAGGACACACAUGGCAUCAUCUGCGAACCUGAACUCCAUUCUUACCAGAAGGUUUGCGUGUGCAGUGCAGCCUCGCUAAGGAUUGGACAUUAAAUGAGUGUUGCUGAGGAGGCUCCUGCACCAGAAGGGGCCACUGGAUGACUGCUGGCCCCCAGUGGGGGUUUCUGGCUGAAAGUGCGCCACAGCAGUACAUGGGCUGCAAUCACCACGGGUUAACCCUCACACCCUGCUCAGAAUGCCUUUUUCUUUUCUUUGGUUUUGGGUUCCAGCUCAUUGCUCAGCCGGCUAAUACCAGAACAACAUGCGGACCAUUAAAAUGUGACAAACUCCGAGAAGUCACGGUUCCUCUUGGAUGAAGAUCACACAAGUGAACCGCGAUGCGUUUAAAUGCAGCCAUCAGCUGGGGUGAGACACCUGAGAGACACAACUUCACACCCGGGUGGUUCCGUGUGCGCGCUAAUCUAAUCUAAUGAGUUGCGCUUGUUCAUUGGAAAAUAACGUCUUCGGUCUGCGGCCGAGCGCGCGAGCAGCGCUGCGUUAAGCGGAGUUGAUCCCCGGAGGAGCCACGCGGCGACCCGCCGGGGAUCGGACCGGUUGGCGCGCGGAGCCACUCGGUGAUACACCUCCAGCCCACUGAACGCACGCCGCGUUACUAGAGAGGCGACACGACACAACGCAGGGAAUCUCCGCAAAAUGUCCCUGUUUCCCCCCCAAACAGAACAGGGCGCAAACCGCGCGGGAGGUCACGGGGAGUCAAUGCGGUCCACGUCAGUAGAAGAGAACCGGCGCGUUUACCUGAGUAAGUUAGCGGUCCCUCGGAUGCUCCGUCAGUGGUCAAAGGCGCAUCCGGAGUCCACGCAACGCCGCUAUCUGCCCGCUGCUGUGGCGGUCCGUACGGUCCCGGUGCGUAAAAGAUUGUAAGGAAAAAGUUCUUCCCGGGAUGUGGUGCUCGGUGAGCCGGUCCCGCAGGUGGACGCGAUGGAAGGUGGUCGCGCGCGUCUCGGGAGCCGUCGUCCCCAGCUCGCGGCUCGGUGUGUCCGCGCGCAGCAACAGCCGCCUUCCUUAUUGGGGAGCCCGGGGCUCGCGCGGCUGUCAAGAGAGUCAAGUUGUAGCGAAAUGACUUCCAGCGAAAUCUUUCACAAUAAAGAAAUAGCGUCAUGGGAGGAGGCGGCACCGCGGUCCGGGAAUCUCUGGAUUUAAGCAGAAUUCAGAAAGCUCAGUUCAGAAAUGUGAAUAAAAAAAUCCC